rnacentral:rRNA from 1 species
GACGAACGCUGGCGGCGUGCUUAACACAUGCAAGUCGAACGGAAAGGCCCUGCUUUUGUGGGUGCUCGAGUGGCGAACGGGUGAGUAACACGUGAGUAACCUGCCCUUGACUUUGGGAUAACUUCAGGAAACUGGGGCUAAUACCGGAUAGGAGCUCCUGCUGCAUGGUGGGGGUUGGAAAGUUUCGGCGGUUGGGGAUGGACUCGCGGCUUAUCAGCUUGUUGGUGGGGUAGUGGCUUACCAAGGCUUUGACGGGUAGCCGGCCUGAGAGGGUGACCGGCCACAUUGGGACUGAGAUACGGCCCAGACUCCUACGGGAGGCAGCAGUGGGGAAUAUUGCACAAUGGGCGGAAGCCUGAUGCAGCAACGCCGCGUGCGGGAUGACGGCCUUCGGGUUGUAAACCGCUUUCGCCUGUGACGAAGCGUGAGGGACGGGAAUGGGUAAAGAAGCACCGGCUAACUACGU